rnacentral:lncRNA from 1 species
AGUUACUGAAUGAUUGUUUUACAUCAAUUAAAUACAUAUUUGAUCGUAGAAAAUCAAAACCAAGUUGGCGCGAGUCCAGUAUUUCGCGCGGGCUGGAGGUAUAAGGUUUGGCGACUAAAUUUUGGUGCCUAAAGGUUCAUCUGUAGCGACUAAACCAAUUUAGUCGCGAAAAGUAUGAAUGCAGGGAAACCAAAUAAAAAAAACCUAAUUCCCUAUUCUUCUCCUUUUCACCCGCACGUCGCCUUCAUCUUGCCUUCACCCCGCCUUCACCCUGCCUUCACCCGCACGUCUGCACGUCGGCAUCGCCGGUUCGCC